GAUGAACGCUGGCGGCGUGCCUAAUACAUGCAAGUCGAGCGAACAGAUGAGGAGCUUGCUCCUCUGACGUUAGCGGCGGACGGGUGAGUAACACGUGGAUAACCUACCUAUAAGACUGGGAUAACUUCGGGAAACCGGAGCUAAUACCGGAUAAUAUAUUGAACCGCAUGGUUCAAUAGUGAAAGACGGUUUUGCUGUCACUUAUAGAUGGAUCCGCGCCGCAUUAGCUAGUUGGUAAGGUAACGGCUUACCAAGGCAACGAUGCGUAGCCGACCGGAGAGGGUGAUCGGCCACACUGGAACUGAGACACGGUCCAGACUCCUACGGGAGGCAGCAGUAGGGAAUCUUACGCAAUGGGCGAAAGCUUGACGGAGCAACGCCGAGUGAGGUAUGAAGGUCUUCGGAUCUUAAAACUCUGUUAUUAGGGAAGAACAAAUGUGUAAGUAACUAUGCACGUCUUGACGGUACCUAAUCAGAAAGCCACGGCUAACUACGUG
rnacentral:rRNA from 1 species